rnacentral:rRNA from 1 species
GAGGUUAAGUGACUAAGCGUACACGGUGGAUGCCUAGGCAGUCAGAGGCGAUGAAGGGCGUGCUAAUCUGCGAAAAGCGUCGGUAAGGUGAUAUGAACCGUUAUAACCGGCGAUACCCGAAUGGGGAAACCCAGUGUGUUUCGACACACUAUCAUGUCAUGAAUACAUAGUGGCAUGAGGCGAACCGGGGGAACUGAAACAUCUAAGUACCCCGAGGAAAAGAAAUCAACCGAGAUUCCCCCAGUAGCGGCGAGCGAACGGGGAGGAGCCCAGAACCUGAAUCAGUUCUUGUGUUAGUGGAAGCGUCUGGAAAGUCGCGCAGCAAAGGGUGAUAGCCCCGUACACUAAAAUGCAUUAACUGUGAGUUCGAUGAGUAGGGCGGGACACGUGACAUCCUGUCUGAAUAUGGGGGGACCAUCCUCCAAGGCUAAAUACUCCUGACUGACCGAUAGUGAACCAGUACCGUGAGGGAAAGGCGAAAAGAACCCCGGCGAGGGGAGUGAAAUAGAACCUGAAACCGUGUACGUACAAGCAGUGGGAGCACCUUCGUGGUGUGACUGCGUACCUUUUGUAUAAUGGGUCAGCGACUUAUAUUUUGUAGCAAGGUUAACCGUAUAGGGGAGCCGUAGGGAAACCGAGUCUUAACUGGGCGACUAGUUGCAAGGUAUAGACCCGAAACCCGGUGAUCUAGCCAUGGGCAGGUUGAAGGUUGGGUAACACUAACUGGAGGACCGAACCGACUAAUGUUGAAAAAUUAGCGGAUGACUUGUGGCUGGGGGUGAAAGGCCAAUCAAACCGGGAGAUAGCUGGUUCUCCCCGAAAGCUAUUUAGGUAGCGCCUCGUGAAUUCAUCUUCGGGGGUAGAGCACUGUUUCGGCUAGGGGGCCAUCCCGGCUUACCAAACCGAUGCAAACUCCGAAUACCGAAGAAUGUUAUCACGGGAGACACACGGCGGGUGCUAACGUCCGUCGUGAAGAGGGAAACAACCCAGACCGCCAGCUAAGGUCCCAAAGUCAUGGUUAAGUGGGAAACGAUGUGGGAAGGCAUAGACAGCCAGGAUGUUGGCUUAGAAGCAGCCAUCAUUUAAAGAAAGCGUAAUAGCUCACUGGUCGAGUCGGCCUGCGCGGAAGAUGUAACGGGGCUAAACCAUGCACCGAAGCUGCGGCAGCGACGCUUAGGCGUUGUUGGGUAGGGGAGCGUUCUGUAAGCCGUUGAAGGUGGACUGUGAGGUCUGCUGGAGGUAUCAGAAGUGCGAAUGCUGACAUAAGUAACGAUAAAGCGGGUGAAAAGCCCGCUCGCCGGAAGACCAAGGGUUCCUGUCCAACGUUAAUCGGGGCAGGGUGAGUCGACCCCUAAGGCGAGGCUGAAAAGCGUAGUCGAUGGGAAACAGGUUAAUAUUCCUGUACUUGGUGUUACUGCGAAGGGGGGACGGAGAAGGCUAGGCUAGCCGGGCGACGGUUGUCCCGGUUUAAGCGUGUAGGGGGUGUGACCCGGUAAAUCCGGUUGCAUAUCAACCCUGAGGCGUGAUGACGAUGCACUACGGUGCAGAAGUAGUUGAUGCCAAGCUUCCAGGAAAAGCCUCUAAGCAUCAGGUAACAUUGAAUCGUACCCCAAACCGACACAGGUGGUCAGGUAGAGAAUACUCAGGCGCUUGAGAGAACUCGGGUGAAGGAACUAGGCAAAAUGGUGCCGUAACUUCGGGAGAAGGCACGCUGGCGCGUAGGUGAAGGGAUUUACUCCUGGAGCUGAAGCCAGUCGCAGAUACCAGCUGGCUGCAACUGUUUAAUAAAAACACAGCACUGUGCAAACACGAAAGUGGACGUAUACGGUGUGACGCCUGCCCGGUGCUGGAAGGUUAAUUGAUGGGGUCAGCCGCAAGGCGAAGCUCUUGAUCGAAGCCCCAGUAAACGGCGGCCGUAACUAUAACGGUCCUAAGGUAGCGAAAUUCCUUGUCGGGUAAGUUCCGACCUGCACGAAUGGCGUAAUGAUGGCCAGGCUGUCUCCACCCGAGACUCAGUGAAAUUGAACUCGCUGUGAAGAUGCAGUGUACCCGCGGCAAGACGGAAAGACCCCGUGAACCUUUACUAUAGCUUGACACUGAACAUUGAGCCUUGAUGUGUAGGAUAGGUGGGAGGCUUUGAAGUGUGGACGCCAGUCUGCAUGGAGCCAACCUUGAAAUACCACCCUUUAAUGUUUGAUGUUCUAACUCGGCCCCAUAAUCUGGGGUGAGGACAGUGUCUGGUGGGUAGUUUGACUGGGGCGGUCUCCUCCCAAAGAGUAACGGAGGAGCACGAAGGUUAGCUAAUCACGGUCGGACAUCGUGAGGUUAGUGCAAAGGCAUAAGCUAGCUUGACUGCGAGAGUGACGGCUCGAGCAGGUACGAAAGUAGGUCUUAGUGAUCCGGUGGUUCUGAAUGGAAGGGCCAUCGCUCAACGGAUAAAAGGUACUCCGGGGAUAACAGGCUGAUACCGCCCAAGAGUUCAUAUCGACGGCGGUGUUUGGCACCUCGAUGUCGGCUCAUCACAUCCUGGGGCUGAAGUAGGUCCCAAGGGUAUGGCUGUUCGCCAUUUAAAGUGGUACGCGAGCUGGGUUUAGAACGUCGUGAGACAGUUCGGUCCCUAUCUGCCGUGGGCGUUGGAAGAUUGAGAGGGGUUGCUCCUAGUACGAGAGGACCGGAGUGAACGCACCACUGGUGUUCGGGUUGUCAUGCCAAUGGCACUGCCCGGUAGCUAAGUGCGGAAAAGAUAAGCGCUGAAAGCAUCUAAGCGCGAAACUUGCCUCGAGAUGAGUCUUCCCUGGGCCUUUAAGGUCCCUGAAGGAACGUUUAAGACCAAGACGUUGAUAGGCUGGGUGUGUAAGUGCAGCGAUGCAUUGAGCUAACCAGUACUAAUGAUCCGUGAGGCUUAACCUUA